AAGAAAUAGCUGGCAUGGGUUGUGGCCACAACUUUAUAUCCAAUAACAUAUUUCUUAACCAUUCCGCUUCUUUGUCUGCUGCCCCUAAAGCCAAAAAUUCAGCUUCCAUGGUGGAAUGAGUAAUACAAGUUUGUUUCUUUGAGGCCCAAGAAACAGCACCACCACCGGGCAUAAAAAUCCAACCACUUGUGCAUUUAUUAUCCCCGUCACUAGAUAUACAACUAGCAUUUGUGUAACCUUCAAGUAUAGCCGAAAAAUUUCCAUAGUACAAAGCAUAACCUUUGGUUCUUUUCAAAUAAUCAAAAACUCUUCCAAUUGCUUUCCAUUGCUCUGUACUAGGAUUGCUAGUAAAUCUUGAAAGCUUGCAAACUGCAAAUGGAAUAUCAGGUCUAGUUGUAAUACCCAAUAUUUUCGUGAAGUAUUAAAUAAGUAGUUUUUUAUAUUUUAAUCUGAUAUUAUGGGUAAAAAAAAAUGAUUUUAUGAUUUUAAUAAAAUAAGUUUCUAAAACUGAUAUUCUGAUUUUAUGUUAACAAAUUUUCUAAAAUAUCUAAACUAAUUUGCUUAACAUAUAAAUAUUGCCUAAACAUAAAAUUGCCAUGACUAACAUUUCUCAAAAAGAAACCCUCAUUUCCCUUCACCCUCCUCUGCAGUCAUUACCUUCAAUCAAAGUCAUCAUCCUUAUUUUCACCACAUCGAUCACCAUACAAAUUGAGCACCCCCGUUAGAUCUCACCGUAAAUUACUCCGCCUGAGUACGAAUUCCGUUGCCUGAAUAUCAAAACCUAAAAAUCACCAUCAUUCAUCUCUCCUCGGUACCCUUGUGUUGUUUUCCUGCCUGUGCUAGCUACCGCGGCGAGCUACUCAACCAAUUGAGUUGGUCGCAGACGAGGACUACCUAACUAAUACGCAAGGGAACUACUAGUUUGGAGUACGUGAGCGCUCAAGGUUGGUAAAGGUAUUUGGCUACGAGUGAGGAGACGCUUAGAAUAACCACCUAGUCAAGAGACAAUUUCUAUUUCAGUUUUAAGUUGGAUUUUGUUAUUCAUUUUAUGGGAAUUGGUUGUAACGUUUUUACGGGCCACCUUUUAGACCACUUAGUUAAUUUUGACUUUAAUAUUUUUAAAUUGUUUUGUUGCUUUGCAUUUAUUUUCUAUGGAGAAUAAAUGUAGCAGUGACACGCCCAAGGUUUGGAGGAUGAUUUUUAUGAAAUAAAAACAGGGUUUUUGAUUAUAUAAAAGGUCCAAAUUUUGGGAGUGUUACACUAGUACAAUGAGUAGCAUACAUCAAACUACCUAUUGCACUAGCAUACUCUAGCUAAGCUACCGCUCUUCCACUGUUCACACUAAGCUUACAUGAAGUAUCAUAUGGAGUAUUUUCUUCUUUGAAAGUCAAAUGCUCAAAUUUCU